rnacentral:ncRNA from 1 species
AACGUAAGGUAUUGAUACCCUCCGAUUGCUUAAGACGACCGCCCUCUUUCUAGUGGCGGUUU